AUCCUGAGAAUGUCUACGGAAGAGAGAGAGAGAGAGAGUGGAAAAGUCAAUGGUUUAAAAACAGCAGUGAGAGGGCGUGGAGGAGAAACAACUAAAAACUAUUCAAGAGCAAGACGCCAUUGAGAGCAUUCUGGAACAUGAAGGUGAGGCUGAAGCACCCUUCUUUGUGCCACAGAGACCCAGACAGGCUGCAUUAGAAGGCCAAUGCGAGAGUUUCCUUCCUUCCCCUUUCUUGGAUGACGUCACUGCAUUGGAAUUGUGGUAGGAAAAGGAGGACACCUGGUCAUUACAGAAGAUGCCCAAUGAAUGGCUCAUUCAAUUUUUUGCCGGUUUAAUUGAGCUGUACCUCGCAUUUGAUGGAAACAAACUCCAGGGACUUCUCCAAAUUCUUUGAUUGCACUGGAAUCUUGAUGAAUCAACCACUUCUUUGAAAUACGAGGACUCUUGCCCAAGAGCCUGCCACGUGGCCAAGCCGUAAGAGAUGAGUGUCACACACCAAAGAUCGCAUGGAUUGGUCCGAGGAGGCCUGUUGCUUCUAGGCCCCAGGAUCCAGGAGCCCCUCUCCACCACAUGAGCGUCCUGGGCGACAGUUCCGUCAUAGGAUGAUCUGUCCUGCUCUGAUUCUCAGAAGACCUUCCCAAUCUGGCUUAGAGAAGGGGGUUGUAGGGUCUUGAGAAGCUGGCUUGCCUUGCGUUUGUCCUCUUGGCUGCGCAGGCGGUGCGAGAGUAUGGCAUUCCGGCUCGGAGAUCUCUCUGUGGAGACAUUGGCUUUUACUGGCAGGCAGACCUCCAGGCCACUCAGCGGAAUGUCUUCAGUUCUGCAGCCACCGGAGGAGCCAGAAGGCUGUGCUUGCAGGCCAAGGGAAACACUGCUCCAGACUCAAGACCACGACUUGGCAGACUCUGGGGCCUGCUGAAUUUCGGAGAGGGCCCUCUCCCACCUCUGAUGGGCCUGAACCACUCUUUCCCACUAAAACUGAGAGGAUGGAGUGACUGGAGAUAAUCUGCUUUAUUUGCUGGCACACAACUGCCUGGGUGAAAUGGAUUCCGAUCUCAUGUUGGUACAAGAGGAAAGGCAAGUGCCUCCUUCCCCAGCUGGGAAGGAAGGAGAAGGCAGCCAGAGUUAAGUCAGACCUCUUGAGAUGCAGCAGAGGCUGGGUCUCUGCUUAGACAAAUAAUCUCGGGGAGAUCUAAAUCCCCUGUUCAUUGUGAAAACAGACAGUGCCAGAGUAAAACAGAAUUAAAUUGUUUCUCUUUCAUGGCA